CGGUAACGCUGGCGGGCGGUAGCCUAAUACACUAGGCAAAGUAGAAGACGUGUAAGGACGGUAGGCUUGCUUCUCUGGAGUGAGUUGCGAACGGGUAGAGUAACGCGUAGGUAACCUGCCUCGGUAGCGGGGGAGUAACUAAUUGGUAAACGAUAGCUAGUACCGCAUAAGAGUAGAUGUUGCAUGACAUUUGCUUAAAAGGUGCAAUUGCAUCACUACCAGAUGGACCUGCGUUGUAUUAGCUAGUUGGUGGGGUAACGGCUCACCAAGGCGACGAUACAUAGCCGACCUGAGAGGGUGAUCGGCCACACUGGGACUGAGACACGGCCCAGACUCCUGCGGGAGGCAGCAGUAGGGAAUCUUCGGCAAUGGACGGAAGUCUGACCGAGCAACGCCGCGUGAGUGAAGAAGGUUUUCGGAUCGUAAAGCUCUGUUGUAAGAGAAGAACGAGUGUGAGAGUGGAAAGUUCACACUGUGACGGUAUCUUACCAGAAAGGGACGGCUAACUACGUG
rnacentral:rRNA from 1 species